CCUUUAGACAUUGUACUAUUUAAGAUUUCUAUUCUAUUUUCCAAAGUCUUAAUCACAUUUUCCAUGUGUUCUAUGCGUUCAUCCUGGGUUUCUUCAACGGUAAAGUUCUGAUUCUGAAUUGACAUUGAAGAACACAUAACUGCAACAAACACUUGAAUGCUAAGUACAAACAUCCAUUUUCUUAAAGACAUUGUAGUGUUACAGGAUAAAAAGAUUGCGUAAAUGUCAAGUUAGUUUUAAAGUAGUGUUGAUAAUUGCAUACUUAUCUGAACUUUC
rnacentral:lncRNA from 1 species